AUUGAACGCUGGCGGCAGGCUUAACACAUGCAAGUCGAGCGGGGGAAGGUAGCUUGCUACCGGACCUAGCGGCGGACGGGUGAGUAAUGCUUAGGAAUCUGCCUAUUAGUGGGGGACAACAUCUCGAAAGGGAUGCUAAUACCGCAUACGUCCUACGGGAGAAAGCAGGGGAUCUUCGGACCUUGCGCUAAUAGAUGAGCCUACGUCGGCUUAGCUAGUUGGUGGGGGAAAGGCCUACCAAGGCGACGAUCUGUAGCGGGUCUGAGAGGAUGAUCCGCCACACUGGGACUGAGACACGGCCCAGACUCCUACGGGAGGCAGCAGUGGGGAAUAUUGGACAAUGGGGGGAACCCUGAUCCAGCCAUGCCGCGUGUGUGAAGAAGGCCUUAUGGUUGUAAAGCACUUUAAGCGAGGAGGAGGCUACUCUAGUUAAUACCUAGGGAUAGUGGACGUUACUCGCAGAAUAAGCACCGGCUAACUCUGUGCCAGCCGCCGCAGUAA
rnacentral:rRNA from 1 species